rnacentral:rRNA from 1 species
GGGGAAUAUUGCACAAUGGGCGAAAGCCUGAUGCAGCAACGCCGCGUGAGCGAUGAAGGCCUUUGGGUCGUAAAGCUCUGUCCUUGGGGAAGAAAAAAAUGACGGUACCCUUGGAGGAAGCCCCGGCUAACUACGUGCCAGCAGCCGCGGUAAUACGUAGGGGGCAAGCGUUAUCCGGAAUUAUUGGGCGUAAAGAGUGCGUAGGUGGUUUUGUAAGCGCGGGGUGAAAGGCAAUAGCUCAACUAUUGUAAGCCCUGCGAACUGUGAGACUUGAGUGCAGGAGAGGAAAGCGGAAUUCCUAGUGUAGCGGUGAAAUGCGUAGAUAUUAGGAGGAACACCAGUGGCGAAGGCGGCUUUCUGGACUGUAACUGACACUGAGGCACGAAAGCGUGGGGAGCAAAC